UGGGCAGAAGCAAUGCAUAUAAGGACAAACAAGAAACAAAGAAGGCAGAUAAUAAAAGGAGGAUUGAAUUACAUAGUAUGUAAAUCUGUGGAGACUUUGAUAAAGACUUCAUGAAAUGUUAUAACACCAUUGCGGGGACAUUGGUGUACCUCGUGUUGAGGAGAAGUCUGGCGAAGACAGUGAUUUUGAUUUCCCAUGGAAGGAAAAUACAGAGAUUGAUGGUAAGUAGAAUUGUUGUUACAUUUCUUGACACUUCAUAUAUCAUGAUUUUACACUCAUUGUGAAAACAUUCGGGUUGAGGUACUGUAGGGUUUAAAAAAUAGUGGCGACAACGAAAAUGAGUUGUUGAAAAAAUGCGAAGAAGAAGUCGGCAUACUCAAAAAAGAAAUGUCUAGCUAGUGGCUUUUUUACAGUAUAAUUGGAAAAUGAGAUAGAUGUCAAUAGCUUCAACUUUUAUGCGAAUGAGUGCUUACCAAUGGCGAAAAGGUUAAUCCUGAAGAGAGGCAUGUUUCCCUGUCCGGCUCAGACAGUGACCCGGAAUAAUGUAACUGCUAUCGUCUGUAUUUAUUAUUUGAACUACCAUAGCUCUUUUCCGGGAUUACAUAUUUUUUUAAGAUUUCGUAUCGUAUCCGAAAUCUUGUUUAAACGGGCUUUUUCCUCCUUCGUUUUCCUUCUUAUCCUUCUCACUCAUUUCACACAGUAUGUUCUAUUGUUUGUAAUCUCUUUAAUAAUAGCCGUCGUCUGUCUGUCUGUGUGUCCGCGAAAGCCGUGUCCCGUAACGGAAACAC